GCCGUCGGCCGGGCCGCCGGGAGCGGUCGCCGCGUAGGACCCGGCGAGCGCCGCGAUCGUGUCGAGGUCGACGGUGCC
rnacentral:tRNA from 1 species